UACGUAGGGUGCGAGCGUUAAUCGGAAUUACUGGGCGUAAAGCGUGCGCAGGCGGUUGUGCAAGACAGAUGUGAAAUCCCCGGGCUCAACCUGGGAAUUGCGUUGGAGACUGCAAGGCUGGAGUCUGGCAGAGGGGGGUAGAAUUCCACGUGUAGCAGUGAAAUGCGUAGAGAUGUGGAGGAACACCGAUGGCGAAGGCAGCCCCCUGGGUCAAGACUGACGCUCAUGCACGAAAGGCGUGGGGAGCAAACAGG
rnacentral:rRNA from 1 species